AUUGAACGCUGGCGGCAUGCCUUACACAUGCAAGUCGAACGGCAGCACGGGGGCAACCCUGGUGGCGAGUGGCGAACGGGUGAGUAAUGCAUCGGAACGUGCCCAGUAGUGGGGGAUAACCAGUCGAAAGGCUGGCUAAUACCGCAUACGACCUACGGGUGAAAGCGGGGGACCGUAAGGCCUCGCGCUAUUGGAGCGGCCGAUGUCUGAUUAGCUAGUUGGCGGGGUAAGAGCCCACCAAGGCGACGAUCAGUAGCUGGUCUGAGAGGACGACCAGCCACACUGGGACUGAGACACGGCCCAGACUCCUACGGGAGGCAGCAGUGGGGAAUUUUGGACAAUGGGCGCAAGCCUGAUCCAGCCAUGCCGCGUGCGGGAAGAAGGCCUUCGGGUUGUAAACCGCUUUUGGCAGGAACGAAACGGCGCAAGCCAAUACCUUGCGCUAAUGACGGUACCUGCAGAAUAAGCACCGGCUAACUACGUGCCAGCCGCCGCCGUAAUAC
rnacentral:rRNA from 1 species